CAAUAAGCGGAAAAACUAACAAGGAUUCCCCUAGUAACUGCGAGUGAAGCGGGAAAAGCUCAAAUUUAAAAUCUGGCAGUCUUUGAUUGUCCGAGUUGUAAUCUAGAGAAGCAUUAUCCGCGCUGGACCGUGUACAAGUCUCCUGGAAUGGAGCGUCAUAGAGGGUGAGAAUCCCGUCUUUGACACGGACUGCCAGGGCUUUGUGAUGUGCUCUCAAAGAGUCGAGUUGUUUGGGAAUGCAGCUCAAAAUGGGUGGUAAAUUCCAUCUAAAGCUAAAUAUUGGCGAGAGACCGAUAGCGAACAAGUACCGUGAGGGAAAGAUGAAAAGAACUUUGGAAAGAGAGUUAAACAGUACGUGAAAUUGCUGAAAGGGAAACGCUUGAAGUCAGUCGCGUUGUCCGGGAAUCAACCUUGCUUUUGCUGGGCGUACUUCCUGGUCAACGGGUCAGCAUCAAUUUUGACCGUUGGAUAAAGUUGCUGGGAAUGUGGCAUCUUCGGAUGUGUUAUAGCCCAGUUUCGCAUACAACGGUUGGGAUUGAGGAACUCAGCACGCCGCAAGGCCGGGUUUUUAACCACGUUCGUGCUUAGGAUGCUGGCAUAAUGGCUUUAAUCGACCCGUCUUGAAACACGGACCAAGGAGUCUAACAUGCCUGCGAGUGUUUGGGUGGAAAACCCGAGCGCGUAAUGAAAGUGAAAGUUGAGAUCCCUGUCGUGGGGAGCAUCGACGCCCGGACUUGAACUUUUGUGACGGAUCCGCGGUAGAGCAUGUAUGUUGGGACCCGAAAGAUGGUGAACUAUGCCUGAAUAGGGUGAAGCCAGAGGAAACUCUGGUGGAGGCUCGUAGCGAUUCUGACGUGCAAAUCGAUCGUCAAAUUUGGGUAUAGGGGCGAAAGACUAAUCGACCUAGUAGCUGGGUUCCUGCAGAGUUCUCCCCCU
rnacentral:rRNA from 1 species